GACGAACGCUGGCGGCGUGCUUAACACAUGCAAGUCGAACGGAAAGGCCCUGCUUUUGUGGGGUGCUCGAGUGGCGAACGGGUGAGUAACACGUGAGUAACCUGCCCUUGACUUUGGGAUAACUUCAGGAAACUGGGGCUAAUACCGGAUAGGAGCUCCUGCUGCAUGGUGGGGGUUGGAAAGUUUCGGCGGUUGGGGAUGGACUCGCGGCUUAUCAGCUUGUUGGUGGGGUAGUGGCUUACCAAGGCUUUGACGGGUAGCCGGCCUGAGAGGGUGACCGGCCACAUUGGGACUGAGAUACGGCCCAGACUCCUACGGGAGGCAGCAGUGGGGAAUAUUGCACAAUGGGCGGAAGCCUGAUGCAGCAACGCCGCGUGCGGGAUGACGGCCUUCGGGUUGUAAACCGCUUUCGCCUGUGACGAAGCGUGAGUGACGGUAAUGGGUAAAGAAGCACCGGCUAACUACGUGCCAGCAGCCGCGGUGAUACGUAGGGUGCGAGCGUUGUCCGGAUUUAUUGGGCGUAAAGGGCUCAUAGGUGGUUGAUCGCGUCGGAAGUGUAAUCUUGGGGCUUAACCCUGAGCGUGCUUUCGAUACGGGUUGACUUGAGGAAGGUAGGGGAGAAUGGAAUUCCUGGUGGAGCGGUGGAAUGCGCAGAUAUCAGGAGGAACACCAGUGGCGAAGGCGGUUCUCUGGGCCUUUCCUGACGCUGAGGAGCGAAAGCGUGGGGAGCGAACAGGCUUAGAUACCCUGGUAGUCCACGCUGUAAACGGUGGGUACUAGGUGUGGGGUCCAUUCCACGGGUUCCGUGCCGUAGCUAACGCUUUAAGUACCCCGCCUGGGGAGUACGGCCGCAAGGCUAAAACUCAAAGGAAUUGACGGGGCCCCGCACAAGCGGCGGAGCAUGCGGAUUAAUUCGAUGCAACGCGUAGAACCUUACCUGGGUUUGACAUGGAUCGGGAGUGCUCAGAGAUGGGUGUGCCUCUUUUGGGGUCGGUUCACAGGUGGUGCAUGGCUGUCGUCAGCUCGUGUCGUGAGAUGUUGGGUUAAGUCCCGCAACGAGCGCAACCCUUGUUCACUGUUGCCAGCACGUUAUGGUGGGGACUCAGUGGAGACCGCCGGGGUCAACUCGGAGGAAGGUGGGGAUGACGUCAAGUCAUCAUGCCCCUUAUGUCCAGGGCUUCACGCAUGCUACAAUGGCUGGUACAGAGAGUGGCGAGCCUGUGAGGGUGAGCGAAUCUCGGAAAGCCGGUCUCAGUUCGGAUUGGGGUCUGCAACUCGACCUCAUGAAGUCGGAGUCGCUAGUAAUCGCAGAUCAGCAACGCUGCGGUGAAUAAGUUCCCGGG
rnacentral:rRNA from 1 species